UCCAUCGCUGAACUGCCUCUGUACCGUUCAGAGAUUUCUCUUAAUCGUCUUCUCCAUUUCGCCCUUCGAGGAGGGAAAGGGAGAUUCCUCUCUCUCUCUCUCUCUCUCUGCGAGCCUCUUUGAAGCCAUUGAAGAAGAAGGCACUGAAAGCCUCUUGAUCUGAGAGACGCAUCGCAGAGAGAGAUCGAGCCUCGGCACUACAUUUCUUGCGAUUCAUAGCCUGAAGAAAGGAGAGGAGAAAAUCACAGCACGAUUCGGAGUCAAAUGGCGGUUUCCAGGACGUCUUUUGGAUUUGUUGCUGCGGCUGCGCUCAUCUUUGCUAUUUUCUUGCCGGUUGCUCAGCCUCAGUCCUUGGCUCCGGCACCCGCUCCCACCAGCGACGGGACAUCCAUAGACCAAGGGAUAGCUUAUGUGUUGAUGUUGGUGGCAUUGGCACUCACAUAUCUCAUCCACAACGCUGACUUAUCCAACAGCUUCUAAAAGACUGUAUCAAGCACUUGGAGAAAACCUCCUUUGAUCAAAAGGGAAGGGAAUUUAGUUAGAAAUGCAAGUGGGGUUUGAGGGGACUGGAUUUUUUUUUGUUUUUUUUUUUGCAUAUUGUAGUUCCUUUGGAACCUGUUUUGAUCAAAGAGGAAGAGAAUUUAGUUAGAAAUGCAAAUGGGUCUUGAGGGAUUUGGAUUCUUUUGCAUAUUGUAGCAGUUCCUUUGGUGUUUCUGUUUUGUUCUUAUUUAUAAUGAUGAAAGUCAGUUGGUGUGGUCUUGUAUUGCUGUGUACAGUGUCCUGAGUUUGAAUGCUACUCCUGGCUCCCUUUUCAUGUUU